ensembl:piRNA 21ur-4631 ncRNA
UUGGAUCCAAUAGAUUCGCCA